rnacentral:rRNA from 1 species
GACGAACGCUGGCGGCGUGCCUAUACAUGCAAGUCGAACGAAGCUGUUUUAACUGGUGCUUGCACCGACUUAAACAACUGAGUGGCGAACGGGUGAGUAACACGUGGGUAACCUGCCCCAAAGCGGGGGAUAACAUUUGGAAACAGAUGCUAAUACCGCAUAACCACAGAAACCACAUGGUUUCUGUGUCAAAGAUGGUUUCGGCUAUCACUUUGGGAUGGACCCGCGGCGUAUUAGCUAGUUGGUAAGGUAAUGGCUUACCAAGGCAAUGAUACGUAGCCGAACUGAGAGGUUGAUCGGCCACAUUGGGACUGAGACACGGCCCAAACUCCUACGGGAGGCAGCAGUAGGGAAUCUUCCACAAUGGACGAAAGUCUGGUGGAGCAACGCCGCGUGAGUGAAGAAGGUUUUCGGAUCGUAAAACUCUGUUGUCAGAGAAGACCGUGUGCGAGAGUAACUGCUCGUGCAGUGACGGUAUCUGGCCAGAAAGCCACGGCUAACUACGUGCCAGCAGCCGCCGUAA